rnacentral:rRNA from 1 species
UACGGAGGGUGCAAGCAUUGAUCGGAAUUACUGGGCGUAAAGGGCGCGUAGGCGGAUUGGAAAGUCGGAUGUGAAAUUCCGGGGCUCAACCCCGGAGCUGCAUUUGAAACUUCCAGACUAGAGGAUGGUUAGGGAAAACGGAAUUCCACGUGUAGCGGUGAAAUGCGUAGAUAUGUGGAAGAACACCAGUGGUGAAGACGGUUUUCUGGGCCAAACCUGACGCUGAGGCGCGAAAGCUUGGGGAGCAAACAGG